UACAUGAGUGGUGAGCGUUAUUCGUAUUUAUUAGGCGUAAAGGAUGUGUAGACUGUAAAAGAAGUUACAAUUUACUAAAUCAGACUAUUGGGUUAAUUUGUAAAACCUUUUUACUUUUGAGUUUUUUUUAUGUAUAAAAUAUUUAUAAACUAGUGGUAAAAUACAACGAGUUUAUAAGUAUUUUUCAAUUACGAAAGUAUUAUACAGAAAAAAUCUGACGUUGAAACAUUAAAGUAUGGUUAUCAAAUAGG
rnacentral:rRNA from 1 species